GUGGGGCUGGGGCUCAGGGGCAGAGCACUCGCCUAGCAUGGGUGAGGCAUGGGUUCCAUCCUCAGCACCACU
rnacentral:tRNA from 1 species